UACGGGGGGGGGCAAGCGUUGUUCGGAAUUACUGGGCGUAAAGGGCUCGUAGGUGGCCAACUAAGUCAGACGUGAAAUCCCUCGGCUUAACCGGGGAACUGCGUCUGAUACUGGAAGGCUUGAGUUCGGGAGAGGGAUGUGGAAUUCCAGGUGUAGCGGUGAAAUGCGUAGAUAUCAGGAGGAACACCGGUGGCGAAGGCGGCAUCCUGGACCGGCAUUGACGCUGAGGCGCGAAAGCCCAGGGGGAGCAAAACGGGG
rnacentral:rRNA from 1 species